rnacentral:ncRNA from 1 species
AUUUUUCAGGGUGCUGUCGAGUGGUUUGAUAAACAGACUGUUAUUACGCAGCGUCACUUCCCCUUUCGCGGUUACCAACUCGCCGUUCAGCGGAAUAUCGAGAUGUAAGCGAGCAUUCACAUCGCCGUCGAGCUGGAGUUCUUGCAGGGUCGCCCCCAGAGAAUCUUUCAGCGGUGUCUCAUCAAAGUAAGGGCCGACGGCUUUACCCGGGCCUUUAAUGUCAGCGUCAAUCAGCAGUUUUUCUUUUGAGUAGUCAGGGAUCACUGCGGUGAGAUUACUCGCGCGCACGCCGCCCAGAUUAACGCCAUCGGUUUUCAUCCAUAAACCGUCGUUAAUAAAGUCCAGUUCAAUAUCAAGGUUAGUUAAUGCAGGCCAGUCCGGCUGGAAGGCAAACUUCGCGUUACGCAGCGGCAC